UGCUUCCCAAAAUUCAUAUGUUGACACCUUAACACUCAGCACCUAAGGAUGUGACUAUAUUUGGAGAUAGUGUCAUCACAGAGAGGAGAUAAGGAUACAGAUGUGCACACAGAGAAACAGCCAUGUGAGGACACAAGGAGAAGGCAGCCACUUACAACCCCAGGAGAGAGGCCUUGGAAGAAACCCACCUUGCCCACACCUUGAUCUUGGACUUCACCCUCCUUCAUCAAUUGGAAGCUGCUGAUCCUGAAUACUUUCCAAAUGCUGGAUGGUACAGAGUGAGGCCCAGAGAAGAGUUGGCGAAUCCUGUUGGGCUAGGAGGAGGAAUAGGAGUAGUAUUAGUUAGACCAAAUGGUAGAACAGGACCUGUGGGUUCAGCUUCUCCUGGGAAUUCCAUCUCUCUGUGAUGUAGACCUGGAAUCCCAGUGAACAUCCUGCAUCCUCAGUGGCCAGCUGUCUGAGGCCACAGUUGUUUCUGAUGAUCGAGGACAAGGAGACUUACCACCCCAUGGCUGAGGCAUUCACAAAAAAAUUAGCUCACAUUAUGUUUUGCUUGUUUGCAAGUCAACAAGAAGAGGUCACUGAGGAUGUCUAACUGAUUCUGUCCACUCAGGAAUGUUUUGGUCUACCCUUUAAUUCACUUUAAAAAUCAUUUUGUAAUUUUUAUCUCCCAUCCAAUAUGUAAGUUGUCAAUUACUUUUAUAUGUAUGCAAACAUCCUUUAUGUAUAAUUUCUAGGCAUAUUACUAGUGAACAUUGAUUGUUACACAGA